rnacentral:snRNA from 1 species
GUGCUUGCUUUGGCAGCACAUAUACUAAAAUUGGAACGAUACAGAGAUUAGGAUGGCCCCUGUGCAAGGAUGACAUGCCAAUUCGUGAAGCGUUGCAUAUUUUU